rnacentral:lncRNA from 1 species
CACUUCGGCCCGUAAGCCGCCGUGUUAAAAGCGCGGAAAAACUCGUCGUGUUUCCAAACUUUGUGUGGGUACUGUAUAUUUAAUUUCUUUACUGUAGAUUCGCAAUUGUAAUGGAUUCGAAGAGGAUAUUGAUGGAGUUUUGGUAUCAAAAAGUAUAAGUACAUGUUCGUUGGAAGGGCAACCAAAGAGUUCCGGAUCCUUUUGCUAUCACACAAUAUUAUGUGCGUGUAAAACUAAAGGCUAAAAGAAGAAGAAGAAGAAUGAUUCAAAAAUUCUGGGAGAGAAUCAUCAAAGAAUUAUACUUGUUUAGAACUUUUUUGGUCGAGACGUUAUGGGUGUCUUAAAGGCACUGAAGGUUGCGUUAGAUGUCAUAAUCCACUACAAAAAGGAAACGCUGAAAAUCCCAGGUGGUGAUGGGAAUUAGUGGCAAUGUUACGGUGUAGAUAAAUUCAGAAAGUGUGACGCUAGCUGAUGUAAACCGCGCCAGCUGUGCUAUUACCGAGUCUUUCUCACUUUUGCCGCCUAGCAGGAAAAGGUUGUGAGAGUAGCAGAAGAAGAGAAAAUUGCAGUAAACCCGGUUUUGAAAGAAGCCAAACAUUCCGAUUGUAUGGGAGCCCAGCCUGUGGAAACAAAAACCCUAUGUUUCAGAUAGAAAGACAAAAGGAACACAUCGUUCCUCAGCCACUUCUGAGGACCACUGUCACCGAAAGAAAAUCACCUCGCUUAUAGACUCGGAAGGUGAAAGCGAGACCCAAAAGUUUUCCACAACGCAGCAAGUCCUCCACCGUUACAGACCACAAUGUGUAAAUGCGUCACAUCCGGGAAAUUAAUACUGCAGUAAUCAGAGCGAUAAAAAAAUUGGCACCAAUUCGUAUAUACCAGAUUAUGCCGCAACGCAUUCAAGAAUGGAGCUUAACACCUUGCAGGGCUGAAGAAAAUGAUAGAAAAGAAUUAGAACAAAUUUGUUGGCCGUAAAACAAACCGCGGGAGGCUCAGGAAGAGCUAGAUCUUAAACAAAAGGUUUUACUUUGUCUUGAAGUUUAUUCAUUUUUACGUUUUUUACUUAUGAAGAUGUGUUACUUGUUCUAGUGCUCUAAAGGAACUAGAUAACCAUAGCAAAGGCUUAUAAAUUUAGGGUUGACAUAAACUUUCGUGACGAAGCAGUUAAAGUAGGCGAAAGCGAAUCGACAAUUGAGUGCGCUACUGUCCCGUGCGUCACUCGCGGCAUCAGCAUUGCGGCAAACAGUGUUAGCUGUAAUAGGGAUUCUACACAGGUUUGUGGUGGUUCAGAAACGUUUACCACGUUUUGCAACUAGACGUCAUAUGAAUGGUGCAGUUCCUAUCUGCAGCCCUGCAGUGUGCAAAAAUAAAUGGUGGAGAAAAUCUGCUCAUUAUGCUGAUCAGCACAAUGCCAGCUUCAUUAAGCAUUCUUGAAAUGACCUAUGAACAGACUACACAGUAUUAAAAGACUCUUCCCUUAAGGAGAUUUGUAGCAGUGGACUUUCUUUAGAAGACUUGUAUCAAAUAUUUGCCUGCUUCUUGGAACAAGGAACUUAGGAGGUCUUGAUGACAACCAAGUAUCCUUGGAAAGAUUGUAAAAAAGAUGUUUAAGCAGGAAAUACCUAAAGUUGGAGGACGGUACAUUUUUUUUUCCCGUUACUAGUUUUGUAAAACAAAUGGUAAAUUUGGUGAAAUGAAAACAACACAUGAUCUAUUACUUAAGAUCAAUUGUUUUCACAAGUGGAGAUUGAUUCCACAAUCUUCAGCUUCCAAGGCAGACAAUCCGCAAGGCAAUGGGAUAUACAUUUCCCCUAUAUUUUCGAGACAUCUAGUGGAGAAAUAACUAACUCCGUAGAACUUUUAUUGGUGUGUCAGCUGUCCCGUCAGCUGUUCCAUACUUCCAUUUCGCGUGGCUGCGGACUGAGGAUGGCUGCUGAAACGAACGUCAAUCUUCCUGAAAUUUUACCACCGAUUCCGUGUAUUUUGAGAUGCAUCUUGUGAAUUCAACCAAUGCAGAGUUGUUCAAGGAGGAACAUGGCUUGGCUAUGCUAGCAUGUUUUGUUUUUUGUUUUUUUUAAUCUCCGUUAGCCUGAUAUAUCCAUUUUGUUUCAAAGGUGAUACGUAAAAAGAAUAGUUCUUAACAAUCUUUUUCUCUAUCUAAAUCUCUUAGAUUCUUGGAGGUGUCUUAAGGUGAUGUUUGAAUUUAUUGUUAACAGUUUAAGUUUCGUAAAUCAUGCUUUCAGGUCUUUGGAAUGUACCUGAUGUACUGUGGUGGCCGCAAAAUCAUUCAAUGACUUGGUUCAAUCCAGGACUUUGUUUUCUUGGUAGUGGGUUACAGUUUUAAUUUGCAGAGAUUCUGGAGGCACCUGAUGUGUUUCAUUGGCAUUGGAGUCACUCGGUUACAGAAGAGAAUGCCACUACUGUUAUGUCGUCAGUGUAAAUAAAACAUAUCCAGUAUCA